AAUGCUCGCAAGAGUGAACUAGCUAACUGAAAUCUUCUUUAUGCUUUAGGGCAUAAAGUCACACUGUGAAAAAAAAGAUAAGGUAGAGGAAAAUAAUGAUAUUACUUUACUAUAGUGUUGUCUAAAACUGGUGCCAGAAGACUCGGUAAGGCCAGAAACGCAAACGUUAGUCUUCUUUAUCAGGCGUAAAGGGUUAGUAGGCUGCUUUUAUCAUUAACCACUAGUAAAACUAAAGUUUUAACUAUAAAUAAUAUAUCUUCUGUUAUACUUUUUUAUUUAUUUUUUAAAUAAAAAAAGUAAAAAGGAAUUGUCCAUACAGAGGAUAGGUUAAUACAACUAAAAGCUAGAAUCAAAUAGAGGUUAUGGUAUUUAAUAUUUUAAACAGGGAUUAAAUCCUUAGAAUUAAAAUAGAAAAUUAAUGGCGAAGGCUUUUUUUCCACUACUGAACUAUGGGUGUAUAUUUUAAAUUUAAAAAAAAUUAUCACUUGUAAAUUUGACGCUGAGUAACUAAGGGGAGGAAAGGAAAUAGGAUUAGAUACCCAGAUACCCCUCCCUGUCAACGAUGAAUGGUAAUUUCUAGUUAGAGAGCCCAAAGGGCGUAAUCUCAUACUGGUUUUAAUGUUAACACGUUAACCAUUCCGCCUUGUGAGUACGACUGCAAAGUUGAAAACAAAAAAAUUAGUCGGUUUCGGAGCAAACGAAGUGAAGCAUGUA
rnacentral:rRNA from 1 species